CGUAGUCAAGCUUGUGUGUCUGUCACAGAGCGAAAGAGGCUUGCGUCGUAUUAAAUUCUCCUCUGAAGUUUAUCUGGCUGAUCUUCUAUCUGGACCUGAGAGAUGAAGAAGGCACAAUCGCUCCUUUUCCAAGCGUUGACCGUGCUUGGCAUUUGGGCUUCGCUUGUUGUUUUGGAAGGGCACUUCUUUCCUGGACUUGGUGGGCUUGGACUUGGUGCUGAUGUGGAUAAGUUCGCUGUAAAAUGACACAUUUCAAAGACAACCCUAUGCUGAGAGCUACAAACUCUUUUGUGAACAAGUGAUCCGUCAAAGGAUUAUCGUUGACAAAGAAGUGCUCAGAAUGGACAAGCCAAGAAGGUUGUUCGUGAACAUCGUGAAGAACCAUGAGGAUCUUGAUGCUUCAGACUACAGGCGGGAUAUGCUGAAAAGAAGAUUGAAGUGUGAUUUCCCCCAAUUAGUUUUUUAUGGGGAGAGAUUUGUCUCAAAAAUAUUCUCACAAAUGCUUUCGCGAUUCACACAUAUCUUUUGUAGAUGCACAAAUAUAUCAGAGAUUUUCACAUGUAUUUUCGAG